rnacentral:rRNA from 1 species
UACAGAGGUGCCAAGCGUUGUUCGGAUUUACUGGGCGUAAAGGGUGCGUAGGCGGUCAGGCAAGUCGGAUGUGAAAGCCCGGAGCUUAACUCCGGAAUGGCAUCCGAAACUGCCUGGCUGGAGAUCUGGAGAGGUGACUGGAAUUCUCGGUGUAGCAGUGAAAUGCGUAGAUAUCGAGAAGAACACCAGAGGCGAAAGCGGGUCACUGGACAGAAUCUGACGCUGAAGCACGAAAGCCAGGGGAG